UACGUAGGGUGCAAGCGUUAAUCGGAAUUACUGGGCGUAAAGCGUGCGCAGGCGGUGAUGUAAGACAGGUGUGAAAUCCCCGGGCUUAACCUGGGAACUGCAUUUGUGACUGCAUCGCUGGAGUGCGGCAGAGGGAGAUGGAAUUCCGCGUGUAGCAGUGAAAUGCGUAGAUAUGCGGAGGAACACCGAUGGCGAAGGCAAUCCCCUGGGCCUGCACUGACGCUCAUGCACGAAAGCGUGGGGAGCAAACAGG
rnacentral:rRNA from 1 species